rnacentral:rRNA from 1 species
UACGUAGGGGGCAAGCGUUGUCCGGAAUCAUUGGGCGUAAAGCGCGUGUAGGCGGUUCGGUGAGUCCGCUGUGAAAGUCGGGGGCUCAACCCUCGGAUGCCGGUGGAUACUGUCGAGCUUGAGUACGGAAGAGGCGAGUGGAAUUCCUGGUGUAGCGGUGAAAUGCGCAGAUAUCAGGAGGAACACCAAUUGCGAAGGCAGCUCGCUGGGACGUUACUGACGCUGAGACGCGAAAGCGUGGGGAGCAAACAGG